UGCUCUCCACCUGUGCUAAUUAGGUUAAUUAUCUGAACCUGCUCUGCCUGAAUUUUGAUAAAACCUAAUGCUGUGCAAUAUCAGUGUUUGGUACUAUCUUUGCACAAAGCAAAAUGUAAUUUAUGGAACUGAGUGAAUGAUUUACCAAAGGUAUUUUAGUUCUUCACAAAUAGUACGUGGUGACCAGGGAGUUGAAAACGUGGAUAUUGCAUGUUCUCAGUGCGAGGAACUUGUCGAGGUAGCUUCAUUGCCGGAAAAAGCGUUCACAAUCAAAGAAUUGAGCGCCUGUGGCGUGAUGUGUGGUCCGCUGUCACAUCAAAAUACUAUGAAACCCUGCAUGCAAUGUUAGAAGAUGGAGUGCUUGAUCUGUCAAAUCAACUACACCUCUUUUGUGUGCACUACACAAUUCUUCCACGCCUGAAACUGGACCUGAAGUGCUUCACUGGAAGCUGGAACAACCACCCUAUCAGAACUGAAGCAAAUCUUACACCAAAUCAGCUUUGGCACAUCGGAAUGCUGCAGACUCCAGUAGCUGACCCAGAUGUACAGAUAAUCGAGCAACUGUGUCAACCGCAAACUUCUGAUACUGACCCAGAAGAUGGUGUGGUGGUUCCAGAGAUCCAAUGCCCUUUAUCUGAACAGAGCCUUUCUGUUCUGCAGGGAUUAAUUGAUCCCCUGACAUCAUCGUUGAACUACCGAGAGCUCUAUGUCCAGUCACUUGAUAUUAUUCAAAGACUGUGCUUUACUAACAUUUGAAUAACAUUAAUAAAAUGAACUUA